rnacentral:rRNA from 1 species
GACGGUGUGCAUAAUACAUGCAAGUCGAACGUGCAAUGUGAAAGUAGCAAUACUUUUGCAAAGCAAGUGGCGAACGGGUGAGUAACACGUGGAUAAUCUGCCUUAAAAGACUGGGACAACUCUCCGAAAGGAGGGCUAAUACCGGAUGUUCUAUAAUAUCUAUUAGAAAUUAUAGCAAAGGUAGCCGCAAGGCUUCCGCUUUAAGAUGAGUCCGCGUCCUAUUAGCUAGUUGGUAGGGUAAUGGCCUACCAAGGCUAUGAUGGGUAGCCGGCCUGAGAGGGUGAACGGCCACACUGGGACUGAGAUACGGCCCAGACUCCUACGGGAGGCAGCAGUAGGGAAUAUUGCGCAAUGGGCGAAAGCCUGACGCAGCGACACCGUGUGUAGGAUGAAGAUCUUCGGAUCGUAAACUAUUGUCAGUUGAAGACGAAGGCAGUAGAGUUAAGAGCUCGAAUGCUGACGGUAUUCAAUAAGGAAGUCUCGGCUAACUCCGUG